GCCAAAUAGCUAGCUUAACCAAUAAAACUAAAAAACCAACAUUAUUCAACUUUACAAAACUAAACAAAAAUAAAUAAAACAUUCUUCCACCCUAGUAUGGGCGACAGAAAAGGAAUUAAUAAGCAAUACAAAAA
rnacentral:rRNA from 1 species